ensembl:lncRNA
CAGGUGUAUGAACCGCACCCAACAAACUAGCUCACUCCCGUUGCUCAACAGCUCCAUGAAUACACAUAUGUGCUUAUCAGCAAGGUAAACAGGGUUUGAAGGAGAUUACAACGGCAGCUACAAGCAGAAGGAUCGAAAGGGGAAAAGAGGUAAAGCAUUUUGAGGACAGCAGCAACAUCCCUGCUGGCGAUGGGAAUGGUGGCCUGGCUCCUUCGACCCACCUUGGGAGCUCAAACAAAUCCGUGGAGUGUGUGAGUGAGGCCAUGCCUUGUGGCUGCUGUUAUAAAAUACCUUUAAUGAGGCAAGGCUCCCACACCUGUAGUGAGCCCUGUUCCCAUCCGUCUCUCCUCUUCUUCACGUCUGUCCCUGAAGUUCACGCGCAGUCACCAAUCCCUAGAGAGACAGCCAGUUGUUCAGUCUCCUUGCUUCUGGCCACAGCUACACGCCCCGUUCCACAAGGAGAAGCUGGACCGAUUCCUACAAACGCAACAUGGGUCACGUGCCCAGAGCCGGCACUCCACUGACCUCUCAAGGGACUGGAAAGGAAACCCCAAUUCCAAGCCAUUCAACGACUUCGUUUUUGCCAGCUUCUGACCACACGGUGUAUAACCUUAGGCCUCCCGAGGCUCCAAUGCUACCAGCCCCCUUCCCUUCCCAGUGCACACUGGGCACACCCACUUCUUAGACAGGGUUUUCACAUCUGAAAUUACUUUGAUCGCUCGCUCACUUGCUUGUCUGCUUCCUCCUGUGAAAUAUAAACUUCAUGAAUCAGAGACCACUGAAUCCUCAGUCAGUGCCCAGGAGAAGCUGACACGCAGAAGUCACUAAGUAAAAAUGUAUCGAGUGUGUACAUGGUUGGUAAUAUGUAGCGGUGGCUGGGAUUAUUCCGGGCUGAUUGGACUGAUGUUGCUCAGGGUGUUUUCUCUUCAGGUGAUGAGAGAGAAGUUAAUUUAAAAAGAUAAUGCAAGGUACCACAACAGUGACAGAAUCGGGGUGUUUUCCGGGAUUUUGCUUUUUACUUUUUUUUUUAAUGGAACAUUCUGGAUGUCUCCACAAUUUUGUUCCAAUGACUGCAGAACCUGAACCUGCUGCUGCUAUUGCUGCUGCUGCUGCUGUUGCUGUUGUUGCUGCUGCUACUGCUGGUGGUGGUGCAGCGGUAGAACAUACUGCUAUUUUUGUUUCCCACGUUGAGGUGACAUGCGGAAAUCAACAGGCAUAUUCAUCUAGAAACAAUUAGAUUUAAUUUCCUUUCAUUUCUACGGGGGUCAUGCACUGUAUUAAAUAUGUAAGGUUCAUCUAUGUGGGAGUGGUUACAGAAAUUAAUAAAAUAUUUUCUAACUAAUGAAAAAAUGUUGAGGAGUGCUCUGAGGUAAACAGCAGUAUUACAGCCCUCCCAGAGAGGGCCCCGCAAGGUCAUUUUGCUGUCUUGUUCUCU